CGUACACUCCUACGGGAGGCAGCAGUGGGGAAUAUUGGACAAUGGGCGCAAGCCUGAUCCAGCCAUGCCGCGUGAGUGAUGAAGGCCCUAGGGUUGUAAAGCUCUUUCACCGGAGAAGAUAAUGACGGUAUCCGGAGAAGAAGCCCCGGCUAACUUCGUGCCAGCAGCCGCGGUAAUACGAAGGGGGCUAGCGUUGUUCGGAAUUACUGGGCGUAAAGCGCACGUAGGCGGAUCGAUCAGUCAGGGGUGAAAUCCCAGGGCUCAACCCUGGAACUGCCUUUGAUACUGUCGAUCUGGAGUAUGGAAGAGGUGAGUGGAAUUCCGAGUGUAGAGGUGAAAUUCGUAAAUAUUCGGAGGAACACCAGUGGCGAAGGCGGCUCACUGGUCCAUUACUGACGCUGAGGUGCGAAAGCGUGGGGAGCAAACAGGAUUAGAUACCCCAGUAGUCCC
rnacentral:rRNA from 1 species